rnacentral:misc_RNA from 1 species
AUCAUCCACCAAGACAAACAUGUCUUUCUCCAGGUAAACAAUAGGAACUGUUUGUUCCACUGCAUCUAAAUGUUUCCCUUUACCUGUCUGUCCAUUAGUCUGGUCUACCAGAGCUUUAAGCCCACUGUACAACGAAUCCAUCACAAGAGUAGACGUAACCUCUUUUUCUAUGAAGAAGUUCUUGACCACCAUUUUCAAAAUCCGAUCUGAUUUCUCUCUGGACAUGCGGCGUCUAG